GAGGGUGUAGCUCAGUGGUAGAGCACGUGGCUAGCAUGCACAAGGUCCUGGGUUCAAUCCCCAGGAACUCCA
rnacentral:tRNA from 1 species